rnacentral:rRNA from 1 species
AGUGAACGCUGGCGGUAGGCCUAACACAUGCAAGUCGAACGGCAGCACAGUAAGAGCUUGCUCUUACGGGUGGCGAGUGGCGGACGGGUGAGGAAUACAUCGGAAUCUACUUUUUCGUGGGGGAUAACGUAGGGAAACUUACGCUAAUACCGCAUACGACCUACGGGUGAACGCAGGGGAUCUUCGGACCUUGCGCGAUUGAAUGAGCCGAUGUCGGAUUAGCUAGUUGGCGGGGUAAAGGCCCACCAAGGCGACGAUCCGUAGCUGGUCUGAGAGGAUGAUCAGCCACACUGGAACUGAGACACGGUCCAGACUCCUACGGGAGGCAGCAGUGGUGAAUAUUGGACAAUGGGCGCAAGCCUGAUCCAGCCAUACCGCGUGGGUGAAGAAGGCCUUCGGGUUGUAAAGCCCUUUUGUUGGGAAAGAAAAGCAGCAGGUUAAUACCCCGCUGUUCUGACGGUACCCAAAGAAUAAGCACCGGCUAACUUCGUG